rnacentral:rRNA from 1 species
UGGGGAAUAUUGGACAAUGGGCGCAAGCCUGAUCCAGCAAUGCCGCGUGUGUGAAGAAGGCCUUCGGGUUGUAAAGCACUUUUAUCAGGAGCGAAACGCUGUCGGCUAAUACCCGGCGGAACUGACGGUACCUGAGGAAUAAGCACCGGCUAACUUCGUGCCAGCAGCCGCGGUAAUACGAAGGGUGCAAGCGUUAAUCGGAAUUACUGGGCGUAAAGCGUGCGUAGGCGGUUUCUUAAGUCUGCUGUGAAAUCCCCGGGCUCAACCUGGGAAUGGCAGUGGAUACUGGGAGGCUAGAGUGUGUCAGAGGGUGGUGGAAUUCCCGGUGUAGCGGUGAAAUGCGUAGAGAUCGGGAGGAACAUCAGUGGCGAAGGCGGCCACCUGGGACAACACUGACGCUGAGGCACGAAAGCGUGGGGAGCAAACAGGAUUAGAUACCCUGGUAGUCCACGCCCUAAACGAUGCGAACUGGAUGUUGGUCUCAACUCGGAGAUCAGUGUCGAAGCUAACGCGUU